rnacentral:misc_RNA from 1 species
CAUGCGACGGCGGCGCCAUCACGAGUUGCACCGCUGCUCGGCUGCACGAGAGCAGUGUGCGCCCGCAUCGAACAGGCGGCGCUUCGGCUUUCUUGGCGCCCUCGCGCUGUGACGUCGCGAGUAUGACGAGGGCGCAGCAGAGAUGUCGUUAAUCUUCUCCACCACGUCGCCACCCCCCGUAGAGGUCGCCGCAGAUGACUCGCGGUGGGACGCACUUGCUGCGGAGUGCCAGAGAUGUUCAGCUAGCCUCUACAAGUGCAAGCAGGAGGCAGAGCGGAUUGUGCAGUCGAUGGACGGUGUGCUGUUUUGUGCUGCGCUCGAGGCUACGCCACCAUCCGUGUGUGGUGCCGGUCUUUCGAGCAGUGCUCCACCUCCUCUCCGUUAGCGGUAGCGGGUGUGCGUGGGGGGGGGACGCGCGACGACGACGUCUCUUCUCCCUACACCCCCGAAGAGUCCUUCCAAUACCCGUCCGCCCACUCACCCACAGGUGUGCGUGAGCGCCUGUGCAGCACCUCGCUCCCCCACCCGCCAAACCUUACAGCCUGCAGUGAGGUUGCCAUCGCUCUUGCAGUUUUCGUCGUUGUUGUUCAAGCGCUGUUUGCGCACCCCCUGGCUCUCUCUCCAUAGGUGCCCCGCUUCAUCGUGUGCUGCUCUGCAGUGACUUCGGUCUUCGAGGCUCAGGUCGAUCUGCUUAUAACGCGUCUCUGCUACUACUGCUGCUGCUGCACUGACAUGUGAGAGUGCCUACAGACUCAUCCUCUUUCCUCCUGCGGUCCGCCUGCGUGCGGCGCUACCGGCCACACGCAGCAUAUCGUCCGUCGGUGUCGUCUGCCUCUCUUUCUGUGUUGCUCUCUGAAGCCUCCCGUGCUGUGCCCUCGGCUGGUGUGCCACGAAUCCGCGCUCAGGGACGCGGGCCCACUGUGCUUCCCUUGGCAGCGUUAUGUUGCGUCCCCUUCAUGGUGUCUCGCGUACCCAAGGGCACGCCGACGAACCCGUCUUUCUCUCGUUUCCUCAUCGACGCAACCCGUGCUACGUCAACGUCACGCACGCACACGACGCACACGCAGACGGAAACUCUCGCCUCGCACGAUUCGCGUCCCUCGUUCCUCUUCGCCUCCUCCUCGCCUUAUCGCCGACCACAAGCACGCUGCAG